rnacentral:rRNA from 1 species
UACGUAGGGUGCAAGCGUUGUCCGGAAUUAUUGGGCGUAAAGAGCUCGUAGGCGGUCUGUCGCGUCGGCUGUGAAAACUUGGGGCUCAACCCCAAGCCUGCAGUCGAUACGGGCAGACUAGAGUGCGGUAGGGGAGACUGGAAUUCCUGGUGUAGCGGUGAAAUGCGCAGAUAUCAGGAGGAACACCGGUGGCGAAGGCGGGUCUCUGGGCCGUAACUGACGCUGGAGGAGCGAAAGCGUGGGGAGCGAACAGG